GGGCCUAGUGGUUAGCGCGUCCGCCUUGGCUGCGGGAGGUCGCGGGUUAGAACCUCGGGCGGGUCA